GACGAACGCUGGCGGCGUGCUUAACACAUGCAAGUCGAACGGACAGGUCCUGCUUUUGUUGGGUGCUCGAGUGGCGCACGGGUGAGUAACACGUGUGUAACCCGCCCUUGUCUUUGGGAUAACUUUUGGAAACUGGGGCUAAUACCGGAUAGGAGCUCCUGCAGCAUGGUGGGGGUUGGUAAGAUGCGGCGGUUGGGGAUGGUCUCGCGGCUUAUCAGCUUGUUGGUGGGGUAGUGGCUUAACAAGGCUUUGACGGGUAGGCGGCCUGAGAGGGUGACCGGCCACAUGGGGACUGCGGGACGGACCAGACUCCUACGGGACGCAGCAGGGGGGAAUAUUGCACAAUGGGCGGGAGCCUGAUGCAGCAACGCCGCGUGCGGGAUGACGGCCUACGGGUUGAAAACCGCUUUCGCCUGUGACGAAGCGUGAGUGACGGUAAUGGGUAAAGAAGCACCGGCUAACUACGUG
rnacentral:rRNA from 1 species